rnacentral:lncRNA from 1 species
UAGAGCUGCUCCAGCCAGGCUGGGAUUAGAAGUCAGGACGCUUGACUCCAGCCCGGGUCCUCGGGACCUUUGCUGGUCCAUACAGAGCAGUUAUGUUACUCAGGAAAAUGUGCCGCCCCCUUGGGUUCACGGCUUGGUGACAGACAAGAGGACUUCAGCUACUACACAGUGCCUGAUGGGGAAUAAGCCGAAGAUACUGUGCAGGACUUGACUUCCUCUGCCAGACCCAGCAGGCUGGCCAGUACUUGCUCAGCCGAGCUCUCUUCUGACGGCUGCACAUCGCUGUUGCCCUGCUGGACACAUAUUUGUGGUGGUCGUAUUUUUCCUCCUUAAUUUAUAGUCCAAGUUUUGAAGAUGAAGAAUGUCUUCCAGCCUCUGCACCCCCUCCUCAUCCAUGCUGGGAAAAUGGGAGAAGACAGUGGCGUGUGACCCUCUGAAUCCAGUCCUUCUCUUCUCAGCCUCUGCCCCCUCACCGAACGCCUUCUUCCCGACAUGCCUCGCCUGUCUUUGGCAUCUUCCCUCCCUCUUCAUUUCCCAAACCCUACUGCUUAUGCAGCAGACGUGCUCAAAGUUGGGGUAAUGAAAACAGCCCACAAAAGAUGAGGAACCACCUCGAUACGUGACACUAAACGUUCUGAUUUCCUGGCCAUCGUUCCACUGGACAACCAUCUUUUUCCGUCCUCCCCACGCCCAGGCUUCUGCUUGCUCAAGGGGUUUUUCUAGCGAGCACUCUUCCUGUAUUCUCCUCUCUCUUUCCAGACUCUGGACUCUCUCCCUGCCCCUCAGAAAAAAUCUGACAUUCCUCUCACAUUAUUGGGUAAGUUGUUAUCUACAGCCAGUCCGUGUUCACGUCCUAAGUAGGGUGGAGGGGAGAAGAUUGCUUUCUUUAAUCCAAAAGGCCCACGAUGGCAUUUUUCUCACCCAAAGAGCUGCCCACCGUCUUGGCUACGCUGUCCUUUCCAUCUGUUCUCUCUUUAGCUACAUCAAGAAAUUUCAGAGGCUUUGCAGUGAGGGGAGUCCCUUAGCACUGCAGCAGGCUCACAUGGUGCCCUCCCCAACAGUCCCGAUGGUGCAAGGCCCACAGCCAGUGGCAUCCCCGUUGGUCAUGGGUCUGUGGCUUCUUCUUUCUAUACCAGCACAAUGUGAACGAGUGAGCAAACACUCGAUUUCUCUGUGUGUGCAGGGGAAAGUGUAUAAAUACAUUGGGGUUGGAGGUUAUGUGAGUGUGUGCAUGUGCGUGCAGAUUGCGUGUGUGCGUGUGUGUGUGCAUGCACUCCCUUAGGCUGGGACUGGAGGUGGUGGGGGGUGCUUGCAUAUGCUAGGGCUGGAGGUCGGGUGGGGUGUGGGACAGGGAGAAGAAAUUUGUAUAUGAUUUGAGAUUUCUCAGGCUGCCUCUUGCCAAGUGGUUUCCUCUGAAGCUCAGAAUCAGCCCAUAUGGCCUGGGGGGUGGAAAAUCUCACUGUCAGCAGCCAGUCUCUGACUCAUUCUGAAAGCCUGCGGGCCUGCCGCUGACUGCCAUGGGCUCCAUGCUCCGACUGGCUCAUCCCUGCCUUCAGGUUGUGCCUCUGAGGACCCAUGCCCCUUCCCAACAGCUCGGAGGGGUCACAGAGACCCUUUGUCACAUCCAUCCCCCUGACUCCUCCCUCCUGCUGGUCCUCUUCCCCACAUCGCAACUCCCUCCGCCAUUCCCUCACUCUGUGUUCAAAGAUCUCCCAGCAAACGUGUCCUCUACCCACCCCAGGAGGUCCUGGAGUGUCUUCAAAUUCCCACAGCUCCUAGCGGCCGUAUCUGCUCUGCCAUCCCUUCCUUUAUCUCUUACUAGCACUCCCUGCUGGGACCUGUCAUCCCAGAGCCAUGGACACAUGAUCAACAUCACCUCUGCUGGGACAGGAGCCACUGAGACUGUGCCCAACAGAGAAGCUGUUAAAACAUGCAGUUCUUCUGUCACAGAAUGUGCGCCCCAGGCACCUCAUGCCAUCCGAGACCCUCCCCUUGCUCCUGAUCCCUUCCCUACCUGUGGGGAGAGUCCGGGUGGGUGGGGCAUGGGGUAAGACGAGGUGUGUUUGUUGGGAGCAUUAGCCAGCAGGAUAGCAGCUGUGCUAGAUUCAGAUCCAGCCAUCCUGAUGCAUCACAAAGGGGCUUCAAAAGGACCACAUCAAAAGGCCAAGCAUCUCUCCCAGGAUUGUGCCACCUACUGCGCUGGGAGCUGGAUCCUCCAUGCAAGGUAUCACCCUGAGCUAAUACCCCCUCAGUUCCACAGGGUGUACCUGCUGCUGCUGACAGAGUCAGGGCUGGAAUUUGGCUGGCAUACGUCGGAGCCACCGUGCUGGUUCUUUAUAGGCGCCGCCUCUUCCUAGGAAUCCAUAGACCAUGAUCAGAGCCACAGGGAGACUUCACACAGCCUGCUAGCUUCCUAAAUCCAUUCUCCCAGCUCCUCUGUUCUUCCACUACUUAAUCCCUCCUUCCCACGUCUGUCCUUGAUCUUGGCAUGAAGCCCCCAGCUGCCAGGUUCCGGGGAUGCCCUAUGGAACAACCAGAGCAGUCCAGCAUGGACCCCUGCACAGCCCAGGGGGGGCACCACCUCAUGGGAGCCAAGCUGGGCCCAGGGAGACGAGACUUCUUCCUCUUCCUCGAGAUGCCCUCAGACAAGAAACUCACUACCACCCAAGGCCCCUUCUGAUCAUUAAUGCAGUGGAUUAUGAAUUACAGUGUCACCAAAAGAGAUGAACAAAAAUUCAACUUAAAGUUGAUUUUGAGCUGCUAUUCUUGCCAGGUAAUAGAAAACACAGUUAGUCAUUUCCGGACAAGCUGAGUCCCUGUAGGAUAUGUGCCAUCUCUCUGGGGUGAACAGUCAGAAGAGGACCCUGCCUGCCUCCUCUCUCACCAGGCGACGUCUGAGUUCCGGGGUCUCAGGGCGUUGAUGGGGAGGAGACGUCUGCUUCCUGUCCCCAUCGGUCCUCUGAUGACACACCCUGGAUGUAAGGUUCUCCUCCAGGAUUUGGUCUUUGCAUGUUGGGGUCUCAAGGAAACAGCGGCUGUGCAGGCCUCUCCAAGGUGUGAGAGGCUACCCCCCAGCUCCCCGGCGCCACCUGCCAUUCUUUUGGCUGCUACAAGAAAAGGAAUAAGGGAUGGAUGGUUUGACUUGCAGCACAUGCUGCCUAUUAUUUUUGGUUGUUCUACAUUUUAACCCCGAUGGUAUUCCAGGCAACUGAAAGGAAGUUGCUGGAGAAGAAGACUUUACCUCAAUAUAUAGAAGCUGCCCUUGACAUGUUGCAGGAAUAUGGGUUUUGGAGAAGACAGACGUGGGUUCGUAAAUAAGAGUGUGAACUUCCUGACACACAGGAAUUAAAACGUGAUCAGAAAACAUUCUUCACUAGGAUGAGGAAUUGAGAAGUCAGGGAGGAGAGCUACAUUUCAUUGAGGGCCCCUAUUUUUCUCUUUAGAAAUGUUCAUUGCUUUUUUAAUUGUGAAAGUCACACAAAUUCGUUAUGGGAAAUUUUUGAAAUGUAAAAAUGGUGUAAACAAAAACAUUAAAAGUCACCCAUAAUCUCACCAGAAACGACCGUUGUAAAUAUUUUGACAUGUUUUCUUCUGGCCUUUUGUCUCUGUGUGUGGGUGUGUGUAGAUUUACAUAAUUCUGCUAAUUCUUUUACACACACUUUGCAUCCUCUUUUUGUUGUGUUUUUUUUGUUUGUUUUCUUACAUCUACUGUUAUACCAUGAGUUUUUUCAAUUUUCCCCUAAAAUAUCUGUGAAGCCACCAAAAAACAAGAUGAAAGAGAAACUGAAAAAUAAACGUAUCUUUUCUUGAGGGCAUGUUAUGUGCCAGGCACCAUCGGAGCGCUUAAUGUGUCUUUUCUCCCCCGACAACAGCUGUGGGGAGGGACAAUUUUUCCCCCAUUUUACAGAUCAGGAAACUAAGCUUUGGGUGGAUAAAGUAAUAUGCAUGAGGGUGCAGAGAGUAAGUUGUGGAAAUAGGAAUUGAAUUGAUGCAUGUGAUUCCUAAAGUCAGGCUCUUAACCAGCAGGCCAUGCCAUUCAUUCAUUCAUUCCACAAAUGAUCAAGCAUUUGCCAUGGCCAGGCAUUUCUCUGGAAUAUCUCAAUCAUCAGAACAGGCAAAGAGAAAGGCCCUCAUGGGGUUAUGUUCGAGUGGGUUGAAAAUGGACAGUGAAUAAACUAAAUACAAACAUUUCACAGUAUGGAGAAUGGUUAUAAGUGUUAUGAGGAAUAAUGAAACCGAAGGGAGAGGAGGUAGGGCAGGAUAGCAUCACAAUCUGAAACAGGAUGCUGAAGGUAGACCUCGCUGAGAGGUGGUAUUUGAGGAAAGUCUUGCAGGAGGUGAAGGAGUGAGCCAUGUGGAUAACUUGGAGAGAAUAUCCAAGCAGAGGGAACAGCACAUGCAAAGUCCCUGAGGCCAGAGGGUGCUGGAACCGUUUGAGGAAUAGGAGGAAGUCGGAGUCAUUGGGGUAGAGUGAGCAGGAGAGACAGUGAGAGGAGAUAAGAUUGGAGAUUUUAGUCAAGUGGUCCCGUCACUCUUAUAAGCCAACAUGAAGACUUUGGCUCUCCCUUUAGAUGAGAUGGAAGGCAUUAAAAGACCGAGUAGAGUAUCGUGAUCCAACACGUAUUAGAAAAGGAUCUCUCUGGCUUUUGUGUGCAGGAAAGACUAUAAAAGGGACAGGGAUAAAAAAGAGAAGAGCCAGAAAGCUGUUGCAAAGAUCCAAGCAGGGGAUAAUGGGGGGCUGGACCAGGGUGGUCACAGGCAAGGUGGUAAGUGUCUGAUCCCAGAUCUCCUUCAAAGGAGGCAGAUUGAACCCAGGAGUAUGGGAGUCCUGAGUGUUACUCUAGACGAUAGUGAAAGCUUUUGGGUUCGAUGAGAUGACGUAGGAGUGUGUCCUAGAGAAGAGACGGCCUGAGAACUGAGCCCUAGACCAUUCUAACAAAGACAGGUUGGAAACUAAGAAAGUUUAGGUGGCAAGACAGAAAACGAAUCUCUUUUGAGAAUCAACUCAGCAAGUGGUCAAUGCGGGGCACACGUUACCUAAUCAAAUCCCCACUCCAAUCUUGUGGGAAACAGUCUUCUCCCUAUCUUCUAGAUGAGAGAAAUUAAGGCUCAGAGAGAAGAAAGGAAUUAUCCAAGGUAUCGAGUAAGAAAGUAGCAGAGCUGGGAUGGCAGCCUCUUCUUGGAUGACGUCAAGGGCACAUCUCUUGGCCUGGCUGUGUCCUACCCCUGCAUGGCAGACAAGCCAAGAUGGAAGUCUGCAUUUCUCCUUCCAUAUAGCCCCCAAUCAUGACCAUGAAAGGGAGCUGAUUGAUACACAUUCCGGCAUCCUCCCUUUGGGUGGGACAAUUCUGAGAUGUGUUCUUCACUUUCUCCCAGAGCUCCCAGUGGGAUUGGGCCCCAUUGCCCACGGUCACCACUGUGGCUUGAUAACCUUCCCCAGCCGGUUUCCUUCCAGUCCCUUCCUCGCUUGCCCAUUCUCUUAAUGGUAGUUCCCAAAUCACCUCCCAAAUAAAUCCUUUGCACUUGAAUUCCUAUCUCAGGAGCUGCUUCUGAGGAAAGCCACAUGUAGACUCCUUCGCAUGAAGAACAAAGACCCACAGCCCGGGGAGGAGGUGGUCCCAGAGGUGGUGUCAGCAAUCCGUGGUGUGGGGAUGGCUUCUUGUGCACACGGAGCCUGCGUGUGUGAGACACAUGUAUGUGGGCACGCAUCCUUCUGUGCACGUGGGUGGGUGUCCACGUCUGUGUGCCAGCUCAUAAGUUAAAAACAGGAAAGGAAAAUGUAAGCAGCUUCUUAUGUAAAUAUUGGGCAACCAGAAUGCUUUUCAUUUGCUUCUAGUCAUUUCAGAGUUUCUGAAACUUUGCCUUUCCUCCCCUUGGAUGGAGAGUGGGAGUGGAGGUGGGGGAAAAUGAGGUUAUUUUUGUCCUGGGGAUUUCAGGGUCCCUUCCUUUAUGCACGUCUCCCCUCGCUUUUCCACCCACCUGAGCCCCCGGAGAAAAGAUCAGCUGAAGACAGACAGCCUUGGCAAAGCAGGUGGCACCUCUGCCCCUCCGGGUGGCAGAGGAUUCACUGAAAGACACUAGACCACCCAAUGGCUUGCCCAUGACAUCCCACCUCAGUGCUCUCAACUCCAGAGAAAAGGGGUGGCCAGAUGCCAUGGCUGAAACGGUUCUAGAUUUGAUGACGGAAACCGUAGGUUUGCAAUCCACUUCUGUUUGUGACAAAG